UUAAAAAUCAAUACAUAUUUAAUUAUAAGAAGUUAAAUACAUUAGUGUUUACAAAAAAAAAUUGGCAUCUACAUGUUCUGUGAACUUAUAAAUGAGAAGGCUUUAUUUCAUUGCUCAUCACUAGACAUUAAAUACCAGCAUAACACAGAGACACCUAAGCACACAGUACACACUAAGUUUUAAAUGGUCGUAAAAUAUGUGCAAAUCAAUCCAUUUGUAUCAGGUACCAACAUACCAGGAGGGAUAUAUAACUGAGGUUAUAAUACAGUACAGAUACACACCAAGUGGAUACAUCUGACUCCUGUGGAAAUUAAAGCGCUAAUCACUUUAUUGCCUGUCCUGAUGGCUACUGAGUCAACCUCUGAUCAGGGGGCUGAAAGAUACAUUUGGCUGCCAACUUGAACUACAAGAAUAAUUUAUGUUGCUUUUUUUUAGCAUGGUCGGCCAGAAAAUAAAGCAUGACUGUUGUAGGCAUAGGUAGCCAACAUACACGUGGCUUGUUUUCUCCUUAUAUGAGGAUUCUUUUAACAUAUGGAAUUAAUAGGCAAGAGAGUACACAAUCAACUGACAUGUGGCCAGAAUUGGGACAAAGUGAGCAAACCACAAGGAAAUGUCAAACAUUUCUUGCAAUGCAUGAAGCCUCUGUCAGAUUCACAGAAAUCCCACCUAUACUCACUGUCCUUCAACACUGAUGGACAAAAAAAGGUUAUCAUUGACAAACAAUUAUGACUUGGAGUUCCAAGUGUCUUUUGGUUUCUGUGUGAAUGGUCACACCAUAUUCUGCAGUGAUCUGAUGACUCUUUAACCAGACAACAAGUGUUGCUCUGACAUGUCCUGCUUAAAUAUAUAUAUACAUAUAUAUAUAUAUAUAUAUAUAUAUAUAUA